rnacentral:rRNA from 1 species
GACGAACGCUGGCGGCGUGCUUAACACAUGCAAGUCGAACGGAAAGGCCCUGCUUUUGUGGGGUGCUCGAGUGGCGAACGGGUGAGUAACACGUGAGUAACCUGCCCUUGACUUUGGUAUAACUUCAGGAAACUGGGGCUAAUACCGGAUAGGAGCUCCUGCUGCAUGGUGGGGGUUGGAAAGUUUCGGCGGUUGGGGAUGGACUCGCGGCUUAUCAGCUUGUUGGUGGGGUAGUGGCUUACCAAGGCUUUGACGGGUAGCCGGCCUGAGAGGGUGACCGGCAAAAUUGGGACUGAAAUACGGCCCAGACUCCUACGGGAGGCAGCAGUGGGGAAUAUUGAACAAUGGGCGGAAGCCUGAUGCAGAAACGCCGCGGGCGGGAUGACGGCCUUCGGGUUGUAAACCGCUUUCGCCUGUGACGAAGCGUGAGUGACGGUAAUGGGUAAAGAAGCACCGGCUAACUACGUG